GAGUUUGAUCAUGGCUCAGAUUGAACGCUGGCGGCAUGCUUUACACAUGCAAGUCGAGCGGCAGCGCGGGACUCGGGCAACCGAGCCCGGGCGGCGAGCGGCGAACGGGUGAGUAAUGCAUCGGAACGUGUCCCGUAAUGGGGGAUAACGCCGCGAAAGCGGCGCUAAUACCGCAUACGCUCUGAGGAGGGAAGUGGGGGACUUCGCAAGGAGCCUCACGUUAGGGGAGCGGCCGAUGUCCGAUAGCUAGUUGGUGGGGUAAUGGCUUACCAAGGCUUCGAUCGGUAGCUGGUCUGAGAGGAUGAUCAGCCACACUGGGACUGAGACACGGCCCAGACUCCUACGGGAGGCAGCAGUGGGGAAUUUUGGACAAUGGGGGCAACCCUGAUCCAGCCAUGCCGCGUGCGGGAAGAAGGCCUUCGGGUUGUAAACCGCUUUUAGCCGGGAAGAAAAGGCCAUCCCUAACAGGGGUGGUUUUUGACGGUACCGGCGGAAUAAGCACCGGCUAACUACGUGCCAGCAGCCGCGGUAAUACGUAGGGUGCGAGCGUUAAUCGGAAUUACUGGGCGUAAAGCGUGCGCAGGCGGUUCGUUGUGUCGGUGGUGAAAGCCCCGGGCUUAACCUGGGAAUGGCCAUGGAAACUGGCGAACUGGAGUGUGGCAGAGGGGGGUGGAAUUCCGCGUGUAGCAGUGAAAUG
rnacentral:rRNA from 1 species